rnacentral:rRNA from 1 species
ACGGAGAGUUUGAUCCUGGCUCAGGAUGAACGCUAGCGGCAGGCCUAACACAUGCAAGUCGAGGGGCAGCAUAGAUUGCUUGCAAUCUGAUGGCGACCGGCGCACGGGUGAGUAACGCGUAUGCAACCUGCCUUCUACAGGAGGAUAGCCCCCGGAAACGGGGAUUAAUACUCCAUAGUAUUGCGUCAACACAAGUUGAUGUUCUUAAAGCUUCGGCGGUAGAAGAUGGGCAUGCGUCCUAUUAGCUUGUUGGUAAGGUAACGGCUUACCAAGGCAUCGAUAGGUAGGGGGCCUGAGAGGGUGGCCCCCCACACUGGUACUGAGACACGGACCAGACUCCUACGGGAGGCAGCAGUAGGGAAUAUUGGUCAAUGGGCGAGAGCCUGAACCAGCCAUGCCGCGUGUAGGAUGACGGCCUUCUGGGUUGUAAACUACUUUUCUACAGGAAGAAAAAGACUAUGCGUAGUCAAUUGACGGUACUGUAGGAAUAAGCACCGGCUAACUCCGUGCCAGCAGCCGCGGUAAUACGGAG